rnacentral:lncRNA from 1 species
CUUCUCUUCUUUCAGGAGGCUGGAGAUCAGUCAAGAGGCCACCCAUUGGUAGAUGGAAGAGGGGUGGUGUCAUAAUACUCUUCCUCUUCCCCUUCCCACUCUUGGCUGCCUACUAACAUUCCCUGAUGUUAAAGGCACAUGGAAAAAUUUUCUGAUAUGAAGAUUACAUAGAAAGAGGACAUGUUGAAUCCAUUCUUGAAGUAUUUAAGAAUGAUAUAGAUCACUUUAAAUGGUUUAAGUUAACAAUGGUGUCUAAAGCAAGGGGUCAGAAAACCUUUAAAUGGAAAACAAUAGAAACAGCCUAGGAUUUGGAGUCAGGAACCUGGCUGGAAUCCUGGUUCUUCAGCUACUACAGAGUUUUCCUUGAUUCUCAAUCCAGUAGCUUGAAGACACAUGGCAGUUCCAAGCCCUACAGGCAUUUUAUUUUAAAUGAAGCUGAUGCUGCCACAGUAUUUUCAAGGGAACUGCCUUCUUGUGAAACCACUCAGCUGGCCCUUGAGCAUCCUCCUGUAUCCUGGGAAGAAAGGGAGAGAAGGUGGAGCCACUCGCUGAUGCUGAAGCCCUUUGAGAGGAAAAACAAGGCAUUGCUGGUGGUUAUUUUCCUUUUCUUUCACCCAAACUGUGAAGCUAAUCUUAAGAGAGGAAAUCUAAUGAGCCUAGUCCUUUUAAAAGAGAGAACACUAAAUAUUAGAGAAAUCUAGACCUUGAA